CGGGCCUUGGAGAUGCUGUCGGGAAGCGCAGGGCUGCGUCCGGAUGGGAGGUUUUGCUUUUGGUCUCGCUCUGUGGAGUUUUGCUUAAGGCCCGGAGCGCGACAGCACGAAGCUGUGGGUGGCGGGGCCUGAUCUUGCAGCAAGGGUGGCGACAGCAUCGUCUCGCCACAUGUGGUGUUACCCGGCAAAGCCUCGAGGCAGAGCCUGAGCGCCCCGCCCCCACCCCCCCCACCCUCGAUUCUGUGGUGCGGCUCUGGCUGUGCUGUGCUGUGCAGCAGGAAGGUAUCCUGUUGUUUGCCAGUAGCUCACUCACUGUAAAAUCCUGAUAGUGACAUGGCACAGUUAAGAAAUAGUCCAAGUCAGCAUGUGAGGUGCUGUCCUUCAGAGGCAAUAUCUACAGUGCCAGCAAGUGCUGCGGGGCACGGGGGCAGCUUCCUCUCAGGGAAGGAUGUGCAAGUGUAAAGCUGUGAAUACAGGCUAGGGAUGCUGCCUUCAAGUAAGUGCAGAGGGCGGUUGUGCCUGAUGCCAAGCCGUGACUCCCCGGUGUGCUUUGGUCCUUGUAACGCUGAACUGCAGCCAGCUGGUUUGCCUAAAGUUUAGGCUGUGAACUGAAGCAGGUUUGGGAGCCCUUUUCGAGUGGGGACAAUUUUUGUUGCUUUAGUUGAGUGAUAUGAGCAGAAGGAGUGGCGCUCAUGCAGAAUGCAGGCACAGUGUGCUGUGCCAUCUGUGAGCUUGUGGCAGAGGCAGGUGGUGAAAGUGGCCAUGGCUGCUGCUUGGCAGCCUACGUGAGAGCUGUCAGUGCUGGUCACGUGGCUGGGAUUGGUCGUGCCUGAAACAUAAGUAAAGUGGGAAAAAGAAGGGUGACUUGCAGGCUAUGAGGAGGGGAUUUUGUGUUUUCAUGGAGUACAAAUCCGUUCCCUUUUCUGAUGUGGUUUUGUGCGUUGGUGUUUCAGGUGUCUGAAAGAGGACUCCCCGUUGGAAUUUGUACCGAGAAAACCCCAGUUGCAGAAAGUGCAGAGGGGAGAAACUCUCUGGGAGCUGGAGGAAGCUGCUUGCGCUGAGGUAGCCGUGCCCAGCACUGGCCCUGCAGCAUCUCCGCCCCUCAGCAAGGAGCUGCAACACCACCGCAUGCCCGUCGCGUCAGUGCAGCUGAAGUGUUCCUGGGCUCUGGGUCUGACCCACACGCACCUCAUUUAGCAUGCGCUUCGUGUCCUGCUGACCGCUCUGUGCCCCAGCUGCUGCCUCCCUCUUCCCCUCUGCCAGCUGCCUGCUUCAUGGCAGGAGGAGAUGCUCUCUUGCUGUCACUGAACAUGUGCAGUAGGGAAAGGACGCUCAUGUACUCCACAGGCCUGCAGUGACUGACAUCCUUCCAGGUACCUGGGUGUCCUCUGAAAGUUGUGUCCUGCAAUUCUUACCUACCAGGUCUUUGCCACCAAGGCUGGCUAAGAUGCUUUGGCAAAUACUAGAGAUGUUAUGUUGGGAUUGUUGAGUGCAAGGGCUUUAUAAGCGAGGUGAGUAACAAACAGCCUUGUUGAGGAAGGUUGUUCUCCAUAACAUAUUUCCUCAGAGACUCUGGAAGUUUUGUUCAAAACUCAGUUGAGCAUUAUAGUGUAGGUAAUGAUAGAAUCACAAGGUUGGAAGGGACCUGCAAGAUCAUCUAGUCCAACCGUCCUCCCAUCACCGUUGCUACCACAAGCUACUAAACCGUAUCUCAUAGCUCCUCAUCCAGAUGCCUCUUGAACACUACCAGGGACAGUGACUCCACGACCUCCCUGGGCAGGCCAUUCCAGUGCCUGACCACUCUCUGAGAGAAAAAGUUUUUCCUUGUGUCUAAUCUAAAUCUCCUGUGGGGCAACUUGUGGCAAAGGUCCUGUUUGUUGCCUGUGAGAAGAGGCCAAACCCCU
ensembl:lncRNA